AACGAACGUUAGCGGCGCGCCUAACACAUGCAAGUCGAACGCGACAGGGGCAACUCUGUUGAGUGGCGCACGGGUGAGUAACACGUAGGUAAUCUCCCCUCGAGUGGUGGAUAACCUUCCGAAAGGAGGGCUAAUACAGCAUAAGACCACGGCCUCGAAAGAGGCUGAGGUCAAAGCGGAGGAUCGCAAGACUUCGCGCUUGAGGAUGAGCCUGCGGCCCAUCAGGUAGUUGGCGGGGUAAUGGCCCACCAAGCCUAAGACGGGUAGCUGGUCAGAGAGUAUGAUCAGCCACACUGGAACUGAGACACGGUACAGACUCCUACGGGAGGCAGCAGUGGGGAAUCUUGCGCAAUGGACGAAAGUCUGACGCAGCGACGCCGCGUGGGUGAUGAAGGCCUUCGGGUUGUAAAGCCCUGUGGGGAGGGACGAAUAAGUUCCGGUUAAUACCCGGAGCGAUGACGGUACCUCCUUAGCAAGCACCGGCUAACUCUGUGCCAGCCGCCGCCGUAAAAC
rnacentral:rRNA from 1 species